AUCUUGGCGCCAGGCGGACAGGCAGAAGAGGUAGAGCGGCUGGGUGGGCCUAAGGGGUUCCAGACCUGCGCCCCAGGACCCGCCUCUGAGUGGCGUGGAGCCGGGGGUUGUGCUCCUCAGAGCGGCGGUUGGACGCUUGGCGGCUUGCGGUUGAACCCCGGGAAGAGGGAACGGCUUCCACGAAGCCAGGCUGUCUGAGGUAACCUGGAAGCGGCUUCCCCUUCAGCGCCGGCUCCGGAGACGCCGAGAGACUCCUGUCACUGCUCGCGGCCGCUGCAAGGCAGCUGGUCGGAGCCGGUCGGCCAGACUACCCCGGGCGAGGCCCGACGUCAUGUUCCUGAGGCCGCUCUGCACCCUUUGCGCGGGUGGCGCCCGUGCCCGCGCGGCUGAAACCCGCUCGGACACUGCCUGCAGGCCCAUUGCUCGCGGACGCGCCCCGAGUCGUGUCCACUUUCCCGCCUCCGCCGGCGUUUCCUUUACUGGCUGAUGUGACCGCGGGAGAAACGAGAGUCCUCGCCUCAGAGAUCAGCCUCUGUGAUGCAAAAGUUUGAUAAGUGUCCCCCGUGCCCCCUGAGCCUAGUGGGCAUAGGGAGCCGGCCUUUUGUAGAUACCGCGGCUUCCUGGGCAGAAUUUCUGUGCCAUUUCUAAUGGGUAACCUCAGGGAAAGUGAGAUUCACGAGGACUUGCUCAGAGGUCUAAAUGACCCUUGGAAAAGCUUGAAGUAAUCAUCACCAACUCACAUGCUCUCCUUUUUUAUCUGCUUGACAUUUGGAUAAACAUUUUGUGAACAAGGGUCACCUGUAAUUUUUCCUAGAUCAAAUUCAAAAUACACGUAUAAAUCUUCUGCAUAGUUUUCUUUACACAUCUUGCAAAGAAAUGUCAAGGAUGUUUUCAGUUAGUUGAUUUCUUGUGGGGAGCCUUUUUUUUUUUUUUUUUUUUGCUGUACUUUGGGAAAUAUGAAAUCUGAAUUCUCUGACCAGGGAUCAAACCCUUGCCCCCUGCACUGGAAGUGUGGAUUCUUAAUCACUGGACCCCCAGGAGACUCCCUUGGGAGAUGCUUUUUUCAAGAAAAUAAGGCUCCAGUUUUCCUAAUUACUUUCCUUCUACUCUGGUCUCAUAGUUUCAGCUCUCCUGGCAGUAAUCACAAUGGAAAGUAGCACCUCAAAUGGUCCAGGAAGCGAAGGUUUCCAUCUCAAGAGGAUGAAGGGUAAUACAAGUGUACCCACUUACCAAAGACAGAAGAUUAGGAUGAUAUGUUGACAUUUUAAGAGAAACUCUGAAUAUUCUCCUAAUCUUUCUUUGACAUGGAGAGGAUGGCAUAAGAAGUGCAUGAGUUAAAUAUUUGGAUAAUCCCAAAACUCGUGGGAGCCAGUGGGUACUAGGUUUUUCACCUGCUAACCUUUCCUGAUUUUUUUUUUUCUUUUGAGAAGGAGAAGUGACUUAUUGGAAUUUGUCUUUAAUAAGCUGUGCUGUAUUCAGUUGGUUAAUAGAAAAGGAGCAAAACACAGGCCUGGCAGUUGAUUUUUAAAGUUCAUUUUUCUCAUAAUAAGUAGCAAGUAAUAAAGUUCAUGUGACAAUAUCUUACUGACGUGAGCUUGUUUCUGCUCUCCGUGCUUUAGGAAGAAGAUCCUUUUAUUGAUUUUAUUCAAAACCAGAUCGGGCUUCAGUUGUCAGAGGUAGCCGCUGGUGGGGUGUCUAAUACAGGAGCAGAAUUGUUCCUGGAGAAGAAUGAUGACAGUAGAUCUGAAGGUGGCUGAGUUCUUGAACCCUCAGAUCAGAGCCCUUUGGGAGACCAAAGGACCUGUGGCAGAGAAUGCCAGUCAGCAUAAGAAACAUGCCCCACAGACGGACAGUCUCAGUCCUGAGAGGUCUCACCAGCACUUCCGGAACUUCCUCUAUCAUGAAGCAGCUGGACCCCGGGAGGUAGUUGACCAGCUUCAAGAAUUGUGCCGUCGGUGGCUGAGGCCAGAGAUUCUUUCAAAAGAGCAGAUCUUGGAACUUGUGGUGCUAGAGCAGUUCCUGACCAUUCUGCCCGGGGACACACAGACUCUCAUAAAGAAGCAACAUCCACAGAGCAUCGAGGAGGCUGUGGUCCUGGUAGAACACUUGCAAAGGGAAACUGGCCAAACAAGGAAUGGGGUUGCAGUCCAGGAGCUGGGAAAGGAGGCAGUACUCUUGGGAGAAGCAGCAGAGGCCCCAGGCUUCCAGCUGAAGCCAGCAGAGUCCCAGCCAGUGGGCAUGUCCCUGGAGGAAGAAGUUUGGAAUAUACACCAGGGUCUACAAGAACCACUGAGCAGGAAUACCCACAAAGAACCUGAGCCCGUAUGUGAGAGGGUGGUGCCUGCUCACCGGAUCCUAACCUUUCCUGAGCAGACAGACACCAAAGACUGGACAGUGGCACCUGAGCUUGUCUUGCCUGAGUCCCAGAGCUUGUUGACAUUUGAAGAAGUGGCCAUGUAUUUUUCCCAGGAAGAAUGGGAGUUACUGGAUCCCACUCAGAAGGCCCUCUACAAUGAUGUAAUGCAAGAAAACUAUGAGACUGUCAUCUCUCUAGCUGUGCCUGCUCACCAGCUCCUAGCCUUUCCUAAGCAGACAAAUACCAGUGAGUGGACAGUGGCACCUGAGCUCAUUCUGCCUGAGUCCCAGAGCUUGUUGACAUUUGAAGAAGUGGCCAUGUAUUUUUCCCAGGAAGAAUGGGAGUUACUGGAUCCCACUCAGAAGGCCCUCUACAAUGACGUAAUGCAAGAAAACUAUGAGACUGUCAUCUCUCUAGCAUUAUUUGUGCUCCCCAAACCUAAAGUGAUCUCCUGUCUAGAGCAAGGAGAAGAGCCAUGGGUUCAAAGACCCCUGGAGUUCAAGGAUAGUUCUGAAGAGCUGCCUACAGAUGAUGAAACAAAGUGCGAGAGAGAUCCACUGGCUACCACAGCUAAUUAUUUGCAGACUACAACAAGGUUCCCAAGUGUCUAGGUUCCUAACGUUCUAGGAUAUCUUCCUGCAUUUAUUUAUUUGUUUAACUAGCUGAGCAGGGUCUUAGUUGCUGCACGUGAACUCUAAGUUUCAGCACGUGGGAUCUUUUAGUUGCGGCAUGUGGGAUCUAGCUCCCCUGCCAAGGGUCGAACCCCACACUCCCUGCAUUGGGAGCGCAGAGUCUUUAGCCACUGGACCACCAGGGAAUUCCCUGCCUCCCUAUUUAGACAGCAGGGUAAUUGGAUGGCUAUAUUGACAGGAAAGAGAAGUGGGUGGGGGAGAGAGGGACAGAAUUGUGUUUGAUUAUGGGAAGAAAUGAAGGAAGAGCAGUGAUUCUCGGUAGUACUACUGUGGCUGUCUCGUCUGUAAACGGAGGGAGAACAGGUGCCACAAGGACCCUUCAAAAUAAGAGAAACAGAAGCGCCCAAACUGAAACGCCUGGCGAUUCAUGGGGUCACAAAGAGUCGGACACGCUUCAGCGACUGAACUGAACUGAAGGAUUAACAAAUAAGCGGUUUAAAUAGGUUAUGACGCAACGAGGAUCCCAUCUUCUCAUUGGGUAAGACUGCUGUCGAUUAGCGAAGGGGCGGGACCAGUCGGGGAGGGCUAUGCAUGCUCCUCGCCGCUGUUUUCCGGCUUAGCCUUUGCGCAUGCGCCAGACUUUUUGUAAGUCAUGGCUUGCACAAUGGCAGCUCCCGCGCUCUGGGAAAGACGGCCUGGUGGUUAACUGACUGGGUUGAGGGCGGUUUUCCCGGUGGGCGGACCCGAGCCCUGCAGCUCCCUCCUCUCUGAGGCUGUAGUCGUGUCUCGGAUCCUUGAACGGGAAGACACUCAGUGACCAUGAGCUGCAACCUCCUCUGUUUGGAGAGGCCUGGGAACUCGGAAGCCUGGUGUGUGGGCCCUGUCGCUCUUCGCCCUGUCCCUCCCUUUCCCCGUGAAGUCGCCUUUGAAAGGCCCUGAGCCUCUUGUUCUUGUGAUGUACGCGAAUAAAGCACUGGUUCACCAAGGCCUUAUGGCACUCAUGUGCUGGGCAGUGGGUACACGAAGACAGCUCAGAACUCCUUGUCUUCAGAGAGCGCCUAGACUGUGGAGUAGAUUACCCCGCAGAAACAAAUUCUGGUGUUUAGGUGGGUAAUGUAGCUGAGCAAGGGCCGUGUACCUCUGGUGCAGAAAGCCAAACUCUGACCGCAGGUGUUUGCAGUGUAAUAGAGGCGGGGCACGCAAGACAACAAAUACCUGUCCGGCCCCCAAUAUUAGUAGUGCUGAAGUUCAGAAAUCCCACCUUAGAGCCAUGGGAGUGAAAACGAAGGGGAGACCGAUCUCAGGGACAUCUCAGCCGAAACCAAUUUUCAACUUAGUUUGUACUCUUUAUAAUGCUUGAGUAUUGGACACCCGGUCAGUAAAACAGGUGUGAAGACCCUAGUCGUCUUUGUCUUUUUUCACCCAUUUAUUCAUUUGCCAAAUGUUUAUUUUAGGACUGAGCGACUUCACUUUCACUUUUCCCUUUCAUGCAUUGGAGAAGGAAAUGGCAACCCACUCCAGUGUUCUUGCCUGGAGAAUCCCAGGGAUGGCGGAGCCUGGUGGGCUGCUGUCUAUGGGGUCGCACAGAGUCAGACACGACUGAAGUGACUUAGCAGCGGCAGACACUUCUUGAGGUGCUGCGAUUCACCAAUGAAACAAAUUACCCACUCUCCAAGAACCUUACAUUCUGUGGGGAUGACAUACGUUAAACCUAUUAAUAUAUGUCAAAUAGUGAGAUAUGCUUAAAAUUCCUAUAAGAUGGUACUUCUCUUACACCAACCCAGACCAUUUACUCUGCACCUUCUAAGUGCCAAGCACUGGGCCAGAUGCUAUACAAAUAGCAUUUCUAAUCUUUUCCUCUGUGCUGCAUGGUAUUGUUAUGCUCAGAUGAGAAAUAGAGGCAUAGAGAAGUUCAGUAUUUUCCCCAACAUCAUUAGUAUGGGUUGAGCUGGGACUGGAAACUGUAUCUAGUUGAUGGUCAAGGCCUGUUUGAUUUCCAUUAGGUAACUCGUCUGUCAGCCUGAUUAUAUCCACAUUGUGGGGAUUGAAUUUGGCAACUUGGAGAGCUCCCACCAGCUCUUCGGACUCUCCCGUUUCAGCAACUGCUGGGCCUCACAAGCUUUGAGCCAGCUCUGGGAACCUUGGUCAUGAUGGUUGGACCCCAAGCUGCAUUCAGGUAUAGGAUCCUGGAGCUGAAAGUAAUUUUUGAUGGUCUGCACAGGGAGAUCCAAACCUGGGUGAGAAAUGAAGCAUUGAGAAGGCAGUGAGCUUGGUGCAGCAUCUGGAGUGAGAACCCAGCAGAGGAAGGCAUGGUGAGAAAGGGAGCAUGGAAAGAGAAUGGAAAUCAGAUUGGAGAUGGCCUCGGUGAGGGGACAGGCAGUUGAAAAAAGGUGGAGAAGCUUAAUUUAGCUUCUGCUUAAGCACUUGUUUUCCUCAUCAGUGUCCAUGCCAGUUUUUUAUUUUUGUUUCUCCACGCUGUGCAGUAUGUGGGAUCUUGGUUCCCCAACCAGGGAGCAAACCUGUGCCCCCUGCAGUGGAAGCGCAGAGUCCUAACCACUGGAUUGCCAGGGAAUUUUUGAUUCCCGAUUUUAGGAGAACAGAUUUCCUUUUCCCCUUUGAAGGAGGGAGAGUUCUCAAUAGAUCUUGGCUGCAGAGAACAAAGGAAGGGAGGUAUCUGUCCCUGUAGAACUCAAGCUUUCUCCCCACACAUUAUAAUGAUCCAAGUCAUCUCUGUACGUGAGAAUCUUCUGGUUCUUGAUGUAUCUUGUAAGACAGAGGGAUUGCAGUGCUCAGUCAGCUGUGGGAACUUUGAUUGCAUCUCAGUGUCUAGUUUGCACCUCUCACAAAGCAGAUUAAUAAGACAAAACUGCCUUUGCGAAAAUUACUAUCUUAUUUAAAAUGGAAUCAGAGCUCAAAGGAGCAGAUAUCAUGCCCCACCUCUAGACAUCAAUUGCAUCAGCAACAGGAAGAAGGUUUACUUUUCUACCCACCAGAAGAAUUUCUACUGGCCCAGCAAAAUACCUGCUAAUGGGAGACUGUCAAAACUCAGCCAAUGAAAACCCACUAUACUCCUCCCAUUUUGCUCCUUUGGAUUCUUGAGUCACGUUCGCCAGACUUGCUAACAGUUGCGAGUUUACAUAUUCCAGCCCUAAAUUGUCCCCAAAUUAAUUUUUCUGACAAAAAUAACAGGCUAUUUUAUUGUUUUAGGUAAACACCAGGUACUGGAGGAGGCUGUGAGAAGCGGCGGGAGCCCAGCUCGGGUACCGGCAGGGACGGGGGCUGCACCCGGCGGGACGAUGGGUUACCGCCCGCCACCUGCAGCGAUGGUGGAAGAAAUGGCCGCGAGAGGGCGGCGCCCAUGCAGGGACCCCAGGCUCCAAGGGCCUGAGAUUUCGCGGCAUCAAUUCUUUCCCGCUGACAGGCUGCUCCCUCUGUUGCAGCCGUGAUAAAGCAAUGGGCGUUGCGGAGCCCUCUCCGGAAGUACGUCACUUCCCCUUCCGGUUCGCUGGGUUUUUCCGGCCCCGGGGAAUCUAAGUGGAACCCGGCGUUCCCCUCUUCCCCCCGCCUCUAGCCUCUGAGUGGCACGCUAGGCGGCGAGGCGGGGGCAGUCCUCCUCAGAACCUCUGUUAGACUGGAGGCGACUUGCGGUUGAGCCCUGGGAAGAGGGAGCGGCUUCCGUGAAGCCAGUCCGUCUGAGCUCUCCUACAAGUUUUGAUACAAUGGAAAGGAGCACCUCAAAAGGUCCAGGAAGUGAAGGCUUUCAUCUUCCCAAAAGGACAAAGGAAGAAGAUUGUUUUAUUGAUUUUGUUCCAGACCAGACUGGGCUUCAGUUGUCAGAUCUGGAGCUGGUGGUGUAUCUGGCACAGGAGCAGAAUUGUUCCUAGAUCAAAA